AUACGUAGGUGGCAAGCGUUGUCCGGAUUUACUGGGUGUAAAGGGUGCGUAGGCGGGUAGGCAAGUCAGGUGUGAAAGCCCAUGGCUCAACUGUGGGAUUGCAUUUGAAACUGCAGACCUUGAGUGCAGGAGGGGUAAGCGGAAUUCCUAGUGUAGCGGUGAAAUGCGUAGAUAUUAGGAGGAACACCAGUGGCGAAGGCGGCUUACUGGACUGCAACUGACGCUGAGGCACGAAAGCGUGGGGAUC
rnacentral:rRNA from 1 species